AGGUAGCGAAAUUCCUUGUCGGGUAAGUUCCGACCUGCACGAAUGGCGUAACGAUGGCCACACUGUCUCCACCUGAGACUCAGCGAAGUUGAAGUGUUUGUGAAGAUGCAAUCUCCCCGCGGCAAGACGGAAAGACCCCCGUGCACCUUUACUGUAGCUUUGCAUUGGACUGUGAUGAGGUUUGUGUAGGAUAGCUGGGAGGCUUUGAAGCGGGGCGCUAGCCCUCGUGGAGCCGACGUUGAAAUACCAGCCUGACGUCAUUGCGGUUCUAACCUGGCCCCCUCAUCGGGGGUGGGGACCGUGCAUGGUAGGCAGUUUGACUGGGGCGGUCUCCUCCCAAAGCGUAACGGAGGAGCUCGAAGGUUCGCUUCGCGCGGUCGGACAUCGCGCUGGACGUGCAAGGGCACAAGCGAGCUUGACUGCGAGACUGACAAGUCGAGCAGGUACGAAAGUAGGACCUAGUGAUCCGGUGGUUCUGUAUGGAAGGGCCAUCGCUCAACGGACAAAAGGUACACCGG
rnacentral:rRNA from 1 species